GUGGGGAAUCUUCCACAAUGGACGAAAGUCUGAUGGAGCAACGCCGCGUGAGUGAAGAAGGGUUUCGGCUCGUAAAGCUCUGUUGUCGGGGACGAAUGUGCAGUAUUUGAAUAAAGUACUGCAAUGACGGUACCCGACGAGGAAGCCACGGCUAACUACGUGCCAGCAGCCGCGGUAAUACGUAGGUGGCAAGCGUUGUCCGGAAUUAUUGGGCGUAAAGGGAGCGCAGGCGGGAAGGUAAGUCGGUCUUAAAAGUGCGGGGCUCAACCCCGUGAUGGGAUCGAAACUAUCUUUCUUGAGUGCAGGAGAGGAAAGUGGAAUUCCUAGUGUAGCGGUGAAAUGCGUAGAUAUUAGGAGGAACACCAGUGGCGAAGGCGACUUUCUGGACUGUAACUGACGCUGAGGCUCGAAAGCCAGGGGAGCGAACGGGAUUAGAAACCCGAGUAGUCC
rnacentral:rRNA from 1 species